rnacentral:rRNA from 1 species
GAUGAACGCUGGCGGCGUGCCUAAUACAUGCAAGUCGAGCGAACGGACGAGAAGCUUGCUUCUCUGAUGUUAGCGGAGGACGGGUGAGUAACACGUGGAUAACCUACCUAUAAGACGGGGAUAACUUCGGGAAACCGGAGCUAAUACCGGAUGAUAUUUUGAACCGCAUGGUGCAAAAGUGAAAGACGGUCGUGCGGUCACGUAUAGAUGGAUCCGCGCUGCAUUAGCUAGUUGGUAAGGUAACAGCUUACCAAGGCAACGAUGCAUAACCGACCUGAGAGGGUGAUCGCCCACACUGGAAGUUAGCCGCGCUCCUGGCUCCUAAGGUAGGCCGCAGUCUGGUAUCUGCCGCAAUGGGCGAAAGCCUUACGGAGCAGCCCCGCGUGAGUGAUGGCGGUCUUCGGAUCGUAAAGCUCUGUUAUUGGGGAAGAACAUAUUUGUAAGUAACUGUGCACAUCUUGACGGUACCUAAUCAGAAAGCCACGGCUAACUACGUG